UUUGGAUAUUCCAUUGGUAAAUUUAAUUUAUCCACUUAAUGUUAUUUAUUUGUUUGUUUGUUAUAUUGUCAAAAAAUCUUUAAAAAUGAGCAAAAAAAUUGUAAUAAUGGUCGAGAAAAACCUAAAGUAGCAGUCUCUCUCUAUAUAUGGAGCAGCUAGAGAGGCGAGCCGGUUGUGUGAACACUGUGACCAGUUGCUAAUUCUCACACACAAAGCAGCGGAAGAAUCUUAGAGGGAAAGAAGGAAGAAGACAUGGGAAACGAUUCAUACAAGGAUGCCAUUGCAGGACUGAGCAAGCUUCUUAGUGAACGAGCUGACCUCGGGAGUGUCGCCGCCUCAAAAAUCAAGCAGGUAGCGGCCGAGCUGGAGGCGGCCGGUUCGAAGGAGUUUGACCCGGCCGAACGUAUUAGAACCGGGUUCUUCCACUUCAAGACGGAGAAAUAUGAGUACGUUUCAUUUUAGCCUUUCCCUUUGGUUCGGAUAAUAUUUAUUUAUAAGCACUCCAUACGGCUGCUAAAGCACCAUCAACUUGCCCUCUUCUUGUGCUUGUCCCAUUGAUAAUUAUUGUCUCCCUCCCAUG